CCUGCGCUCGAGCCCGAGCAGCCUGGGGCGGGCCCGGCGGGCAGGGGCGCGUGGCCUCGGCGGCGAGCCCCGCCGUGGAUUCCGGGAGAGCAUCGUGGAGCAAUGUCCGAAACGGAGCAAGGACCAAACGCGAAAGCCUGGCCUCCCUGGAGCCCCGUGGACUCGGCCCCCUGGGCUGUGGUGUGGGCAGGGGAGCAUUCGGGCUUUGGGAUUUUCAAAAAGUACCCCAUGCACAGCCAGGGGAGACUCCCUGGUGAAACCGGGACCCAGACUCCGGCUGCCUUGAGGCUGUUCUGGCGGAGAACGCCAGGGCCUCCCUGCCGCUCCAGGCGGAGCGGGCUGUCGUUCAGUUUCUGGAAGCCCAGUACGCAGCAGCCAUUCUCGGAAUGGCGAGUCUGAGACCCUGUCCUUUAGGCCAGCCAAGGAAGCAGGGAUCCAGUGCCUUCUGCCUCCAUGGAUAUCACGCAUGCACGUGGUGUACAGACAUCCAGAAUCUAGACCAGCACCCAAAUCAUGGAGCUCAGUAACUAUUUACUGGAUAUGAGAAUGUACAUGAUGGGAUAGAGAGUGAAAUUUCCGGAAGGCCCUGGAACCCUCUGUGUACAAAUGGUGCUUUGAGACCUACAGAGCUAAGAGAGCAGCUCAAAUGGAGCACAUUUAGAGAUCUAACUAGCAAACUUGAAGAGUGCGUCUGUUUAACGAGAGCCUUUACAGAAUGGAGUGAGGGGUAACAGUUAACCAUUUAAGGCUAAAGAUUAUGUUAUAUGCUUAUAAUUCCAGGCCUUGAGAAACUGAGGCAGGAGAAUCACAGGUUCCAGGCAAGCCUGGGCUAUGCUGGUAGAUUCCAUCUCAAAAAAAUUUAAAAGCUACUUGCCUCUGUCUCUUUGGCUCUGAAUUCCACAAAAUUCCUGGUUAUUUUCAGGUAGCCCCUGAUGCCUGUCCCUUCAGCCUCCAUUUAGUGAUUAAGAUGGCUUAAAUGAAA